GCAGAAUUCAGUGAAUCAUCGAAUCUUUGAACGCACCUUGCGCUCCUUGGUAUCCCGAGGAGCAUGCCUGUUUGAGUGUCA
rnacentral:rRNA from 1 species